GGAACCUAGAAACACAGUGAGAGGGUUCUGAGGUCCCCGCCGUGAAAAGAGACAAGAUGACUGCUCUGAGUCGGAGACACGGAGAAUGGGAGCUGCCUACUUCUUGGGGGCAGAUAUUGAUUGGACUCUCCCCGUUUGCGGAUGCCAAGAAGCAGCCGAGCAUCUCUACCUCCAGGUCUGUCACAUGAUCCUGGGCCAGAAGGCUGAAGACGGAUCCUCCAACUUCCUGACACACUGGGGCUGUAUAG